rnacentral:rRNA from 1 species
AUUGAACGCUGGCGGCAGGCCUAACACAUGCAAGUCGAACGAGUGGCGGACGGGUGAGUAAUGUCUGGGAAACUGCCUGAUGGAGGGGGAUAACUACUGGAAACGGUAGCUAAUACCGCAUACCCUCAGAUGUGCCCAGAUGGGAUUAGCUAGGUGGUGUGGUAACGGCUCACCAAGGCGACGAUCCCUAGCUGGUCUGAGAGGAUGACCAGCCACACUGGAACGGAGACACGGUCCAGACUCCUACGGAAGGCAGCAGUGGGAAAUAUUGCACAAUGGGCGCAGGCCUGAUGCAGCCAGGCCGCGUGUAGGAAGAAGGCCUUCGGGUUGUAAAGUACGUUCAUCGGGGAGGCGUUACCCGCAGAAGAAGCACCGGCUAACUCCGUGCCAGCAGCCGCGGUAAUUC